rnacentral:lncRNA from 1 species
UUGUAUGUCUGUGUAUAUUCAAUGGAAAAUGUUUGAAGCUUCACUCACAGCACAUUCCAUUAGAGAAAGCUACUAAAAUCAUAAGGAAAAUCUAAAAUGCAGUAAGCCAGUCAGCAAGCCAUAAUGGGCAUAUGAAAACAAAGUUUUUUGCCAUGAUUUGUGGACCACAGAAGAUCUGUGUUAUUAGUCUAUUUAAGUUUGGUGUUUGAAAUUAAAAAUGUUCGACAUACUUUUUAUGUUUUUUUUAAAUAUACUGUCUAUAUUUAAAAUUGAGUAUACUGUACUUUAGUGUGUUUGGAAGCAGAUAUCCCCAAAUAAAAGUAUACAGUAGAACCAAAGAAUUUUAUUGAUCAGCUAGAAUUUAGUUUUCAGGUGUAAUAACUGUCAACCUAAAUAACAGAGGCUUUCUAAAAGAAAAUGAUGUUUAUUUGGGAAUAGGGCAUUGUGAAGGCAAUAUGCAUGCCAUAGUAAACUGUGUGUAUUCAGGAAGGUAAAGGAAGACAGGUUUUUAAAGGACAGAUAAAGAUUAUAUAAUUGUCUUGAAAUAAAGUAUUUUGUGGGUAACCUUUGUGAAAGGUUGCAGUUUUUGUAACACAAGCUGCUUUAUUUUCCCAAAAGCUUUCACAGUACAUAGAAAAUAUAUUGGACGUGUAUUAAAUGUGCCAAAUUAGUCAGCAAUAUUACAUUAAAAUAUGAAGAUUUAAAGAGAAUUACAGACAGACAAGGCUGAACAUUGGCUGUCAUCCAACAAAGCUCUUAUAAGAUGGGAAUCACUGCCCGGUUCUUGAGCUCCGACCUGGAGGGAAGAGGAGUCUGGAAGACUUGGCACAGGCCUGAGUGCUUCAUUGUCUUUCUGGUUCCAAGUCCUCCUCAGCUCACUAGGAAGGAGGUGGGGUGGGGGCAGGUAGGCCACUCUGCAUAAGUGCACACAUCUACACUGGCUAGUCUACUUCACAAUUCCCCCACAGGUUAUCCUUAUCUCUACCUGGUUCCAGUUCCAGAUUGGAGGGAUAUAGAAUACCAUCCCCACCCCUCACCUUGCUUGCUCUGGCCUGGAAAACUGUCAUUCCUUUACCACCAGCUGGCAUCUGCCAUAUGCUUCAAGGAACUGAAUAAAGAGGAAGGGGAAAGAAGAAACUAGAGAAACUGGAAUGCUUCCUAUCUGACCCCCAAGUACAGGGACUGCCUCUUUCCGUAACGGCACAGAACGUCUCCAUCCCUUUGACCUCCACCUCCCCAGAGAUGCCCGAGGAGGACAGCCUUGUUUCUGUGAUCUGUUGUUGAGAACUGCUGCUGAGAAUUCUUCCUUCAGCACCGCCUUAGGCACCAUUGGUUUUUCACUAGGUCCGCUGUAGAAAACAGCCAGGAAUUACUUAGUUGACUACCACCUGAGGUGCUGUUUGGUGUUGGUAAUAAAGAAUAAAGGUG